UCCUACGGGAGGCAGCAGUGGGGAAUAUUGCACAAUGGGCGCAAGCCUGAUGCAGCCAUGCCGCGUGUAUGAAGAAGGCCUUCGGGUUGUAAAGUACUUUCAGCAGUGAGGAAGGUGGGUAUGUUAAUAGCAUACUCAUUUGACGUUAGCUGCAGAAGAAGCACCGGCUAACUCCGUGCCAGCAGCCGCGGUAAUACGGAGGGUGCGAGCGUUAAUCGGAAUUACUGGGCGUAAAGCGCAUGCAGGUGGUUUGUUAAGUCAGAUGUGAAAGCCCGGGGCUCAACCUCGGAAUUGCAUUUGAAACUGGCAAACUAGAGUACUGUAGAGGGGGUAGAAUUUCAGGUGUAGCGGUGAAAUGCGUAGAGAUCUGAAGGAAUACCGGUGGCGAAGGCGGCCCCCUGGACAGAUACUGACACUCAGAUGCGAAAGCGUGGGGAGCAAACAGGAUUAGAUACCCUGGUAG
rnacentral:rRNA from 1 species